CUGACCUGGACUAAAUUUAGUUGCUGUGGCAUACCCCACAGGAGAGCUGGCUAUCGGACAGACAGAGUACUCUGUAUUCGUCUGUUCUCAUGUUGCUAAGAAAGACAUACUUGAGAUGGAGUGAUUUAUAAAGGAAAGUGAUUUAAUUGACUCACAGUUCCACAUGGCCAGGGAGACCUCACAAUCAUGGCGGGAGGCAAAUGAAGAGCAAAGUCACAUCUUACAUGGUGGCAGGCAUUCUAUCCCAGGAGCACCGAGGACAGAGUCCUUGCUUCCUGUCAGGGAGACCAUCUCUCUUGGUAUCCACAGUGAGCCAAGUGAAAUGCAUCGAGAAGAAAUCAUAUCCACAGAAUUCUCCAGGAAGAGUGCUCAAUGCUGAUACCGAUGCAGAGUCUCGAGCUGGAAUGCCCGUCACUGGCCUGCCUCUCAGCCUUGGUUACAACCUCACAAAGCUCCUGACCUUCCCCACCAGGACAUUUCUCAUCUACUCUGAAAAUGUGUUGUUUGGAUAAAAUAUGGACUUCAAAAAUCUAAAUGUCAAAUGAAAACAAAAAUAAUGUGAGAGGAAGAGAAAACCCAUGUAAUGAACAUCCAAAUUCACAUAACUACUGUGACUAAGGAUUCAACAUUUGCUCUGAGCUUCAUAGCAGCCAAAAGAAAAACUGGCAUUUUUCAUUUUACUUUAUUAUCUGUUACUAAACAGUGACUAAAAGGAUAAUGUACAUUGACAUUGAACAAAAGCAUAAUAAAAUGACUUUUAAUUGUAUGCUGGUUACGUAU
rnacentral:lncRNA from 13 species